rnacentral:rRNA from 1 species
CCUACGGGCGGCAGCAGUGAGGAAUAUUGGUCAAUGGCCGCUAGCCUGAACCAGCCAAGUCGCGUGAAGGAUGACUGUGCUAUGCAUUGUAAACUUCUUUUAUCUGGGGAUAAAGUGCAGCAUGUAUACUUCUUUGCAUGUACCUUAUGAAUAAGCAUCGGCUAACUCCGUGCCAGCAGCCGCGGUAAUACGGAGGAUCCGAGCGUUAUCCGGAUUUAUUGGGUUUAAAGGGAGCGUAGGCGGGUUGUUAAGUCAGUUGUUAAAGGUUGCGGCUCAACCGUAAAAUUGCAGUUGAUACUGGCAGCCUUGAGUACAGUAGAGGUAGGCGGAAUUCGUGGUGUAGCGGUGAAAUGCAUAGAUAUCGCGAAGAACUCCGAUUGCGAAGGCAGCCUGCUGGACUGUAACUGACGCUGAGGCUCGAAAGUGUGGGUAUCAAACAGGAUUAGAUACCCGUGUAGUC